rnacentral:misc_RNA from 1 species
GGCCCUUUGGAAAUGGAUAAAAAAGCACCUUCUAGUCUUUUUGUUAAUGAUGGUUCUUUCAUGGAGAGGUUCAAACAACUUCAGCAAGACAAGGGAAAGGACCAGGAGAAGGAUAUAGGUGCCGCAGAAAAGGAAUCUAAACCCAAAACAAUUGUUUCAGGGACACUGAAUCCUAAACCUUCUUCUGGUAAAAUAACUAUGCAAUUUAAGGCUAAUAGUGCAAGCAAGACCCCACAGCCUCCUUCAGGUGGCAAACUUGCUUUCAGUUUGAAACAGAAGUCAAAAAUUGUCGCUCCUCCAGUUAAGUUGGGCGAAGAUGAGGAGGAUGAAGAUGAAGCAGAUGCUGGGAAUGUUUCAGUUGACACAUCAGCGAAAAGACAGAAGUUGAAUCAACUGGAUGCCUCUGAAAAAUCAAAACAAAUGGAUGUUGCACCAACUUCACCGAGUGAUCCUACAGUGAAGAAAGUUGC